AUUGAACGUUGGCGGCAGGCCUAACACAUGCAAGUCGAGCGAGCGGCGGACGGGGGAGUAAUGUCGGGGAAACUGCCCGAUGGAGGGGGAUAACUACUGGAAACGGUAGCUAAUACCGCAUACCAUCAGAUGUGCCCAGAGGGGAUUAGCUAGUAGGUGGGGUAAUGGCUCACCUAGGCGACGAUCCCUAGCUGGUCUGAGAGGGUGAUCAGCCACACUGGGACUGAGACACGGCCCAGACUCCUACGGGAGGCAGCAGUGGGGAAUAUUGCACAAUGGGCGCAAGUCUGAUGCAGCCAUGCCGCGUGAAUGAAGAAGGCCUUCGGAUUGUAAAGUACUUUCAGUCGGGAGGCGUUACCGACAGAAGAAGCACCGGCUAACUCCGUGCCAGCAGCCGCGGUAAUAC
rnacentral:rRNA from 1 species